CCGAGUUUACAACUCCCAAACCCCCUGUGAACUUCUACCAUUUACUGUUGCUUCGGCGGGUCACGGCCCCGUGGGAAAGGACAGUGGGUUGUUGGUGCGCCGUUAGGCUCCCUCUCCCGCUGCCCGCCACCCCGCGGAAACAGGCCCCCGCCGGGGAACUCAAACUCUGUAUUUUUCUUUUUGACUACUGUAUACUGUCUGAGUACAACUAAAAAAAAUGAAUCA
rnacentral:misc_RNA from 1 species